UACGUAGGGGGCAAGCGUUGUCCGGAAUUAUUGGGCGUAAAGAGCGUGUAGGCGGUCCGGUAAGUCAGCUGUGAAAGUCAAGGGCUCAACCCUUGAAUGCCGGUUGAUACUGUCGGGCUAGAGUCCGGAAGAGGCGAGUGGAAUUCCCGGUGUAGCGGUGAAAUGCGCAGAUAUCGGGAGGAACACCAAUGGCGAAGGCGACUACCUGGCCUGUUCUUGACGCUGAGGCGCGAAAGCUAGGGGAGCAAACGGG
rnacentral:rRNA from 1 species